GACGAACGCUGGCGGCGUGCUUAACACAUGCAAGUCGAGCGGUAAGGCCCUUUCGGGGGUACACGAGCGGCGAACGGGUGAGUAACACGUGGGUGACCUGCCCUCAGCUCUGGGAUAAGCCUGGGAAACCGGGUCUAAUACCGGAUAUGACUCCAUGACGCAUGUUGUGGGGCGGAAAGCCUUGUGCGGCUGAGGAUGGGCCCGCGGCCUAUCAGCUUGUUGGUGGGGUGAUGGCCUACCAAGGCGACGACGGGUAGCCGGCCUGAGAGGGCGACCGGCCACACUGGGACUGAGACACGGCCCAGACUCCUACGGGAGGCAGCAGUGGGAAUCUUGCGCAAUGGGCGAAAGCCUGACGCAGCGACGCCGCGUGAGGGAUGACGGCCU
rnacentral:rRNA from 1 species